UACGGGGGGGGGCAAGCGUUGUUCGGAAUUACUGGGCGUAAAGGGCUCGUAGGCGGCCAACUAAGUCCGACGUGAAAUCCCCAGCUUAACCUGGGACUGCGUCGGAUACUGGAUGGCUUGAAUCCGGGAGAGGGAUGCGGAAUUCCAGGUGUAGCGGUGAAAUGCGUAGAUAUCUGGAGGAAUACCGGUGGCGAAGGCGGCAUCCUGGACC
rnacentral:rRNA from 1 species